AGCUGGCUGAAGCCGGGCCAAAUCGUCAUAAUUCCCAUGAAAAGGAAUCUCAAUACAUUUGGUCCCCUUCAACCAGCUGU
rnacentral:pre_miRNA from 1 species